rnacentral:lncRNA from 1 species
AUAUAUAUAUCUCAUUAUUAAACCCAAACCUUAUAUUCCAUACCAUAUACCCUAAAUCUCUAUUUUUAUUCUCCAAGCUAUAAAUCUGAUCAUUAAACUUAUAUUUAAAUUUUAAACUUAAACUCAAACUAUAAUAUAAUUAUAAUACAUGUAAAAAUUGAUUAAAAAAAGGUACAACUAAUUAAUGAUUGAAAAAUGAAGGAAUAUUAUCAUUGGUCUAUCAAGAAGGACAAGGAUGACUAUCUUCAGGGUUAUAGUUUCAGGGGUUACACUUUAAAAUAUGAAAAUCUAUAGUUUUAGGGAUUACAAGAGGAUAAUAUUUUGUUCCAGUUAUAUUUCCAUCCAUAAGAUUUGGCUCCAAUAUGAUAAAUAAAUAAAUAAAAGAUUUGGCUCCAAUAAUAUUUUGGGGUUUUGGCUCCAAUUCAUUUUUAGCCAAAAUUUAUCAUUAAAGCACAAAACAUCCCACAAAACACUAACAAGCCUAAACACUUAGAAAAAAAAAUCAAAACUCUCUCCCU